rnacentral:lncRNA from 1 species
UGAGAAUGAAUGAAUUACAACUAUAUACAACAACACAAAUAGAUCCAUUAGGUAUCUGUUGAUGGUAACACAUCACCUCAAAAUUGAGGCAAAAAUUAACACCCAUUUCUGAUCUCUACUGCUGUGGGACAGAGAUUUGGGCACAGCUGAGCUGGGCUUUCUGCUUCAUGGUCUUUUACAGGCUUCAGUGAAGGUGUUGGUGGGCCAACAUCAUAUGAAGGUUCAACUUGGGAAAGCUUGUAUCGCUUUGGACCUGAUGGAUCAAGAAAGGAGCCAUAUGCUUCCAGAAGACUGCUCCCUUGAUUCUAAGAGAGAACACACGAAGGACCAUUUAAGCAAUUAAGUAGCCAGACCUUGUGCCAGGCACUAGAAAUG